AAGUGGUAACGGUUCGUGAUUUAGGCCAGUUGUUGAAAAAUAAAUGCCUGUUAUAUAGAAUCACAGAACUUGAGAGCUUGCGGCCAAGGGAAGUCGUUCAUCGGUGGACCGACAGCGCCCCGGGCGGCAGAAAGAAGGCGGCGGCGGCGGAGACCCGGGGAAGUUGCCGGAUUUUUAAAAAGGCACCUGCUGGUUGGACCCAGACUGACACUCUUGCCUGAGGGCACAGACCAGGGAGCAGCAAUCAAUACUGGACACCAGGCAGCUUCCACGCUUGACAGUGUUGCCAGACCCUCGCGUGGGCAGGAGGGCACAGGUCUGAUGCCGUGUGUGCUGAUGUGAGAUCUCUAAUUCAUACUGGAGGGCAAGGCAGAGAGGGCACGUGUCAGGAGAGAACCCCAGGGUAGAGUUUUAAACAGUUUGCAGCAGAUAUGUAAAAGAAAGGCAUUUCAGAAAGAGGGGACAGUAUGUACAGCAGCGGGAGGAGGGAAGGAAGGGUGACAACUUCAGGGAAGGGACAGAGGUAUCACCAAGCUCCUGCUUCAUCCCUAAACCUUUUGUUUCAUUCCCAGGGAGAAUCCUAGUAAGAUUUAGAGUCUGCAGGAUCCUAAAUCUUGUUCUCAAUGGUUUUACCAGCUUUUCUCUUACCAGCUCUCUAGGAGGCAACAUUAUCCACUGGAGCAUCUAGAAGCACAAGUACUUCCAUGAUGGUCAGAGGCAGAAGAGGAUGCGGAGCAGGGUAGAAGACUCUCAUGACUACCUGCACGCCACCAUCUUCCCCGGCCUGGCGCAAUUGCCUUCAGGAUAUGUACAGCAUGACCCACAGGGAUUUCACUUCAUGGAAUGCAAAACCAACCUGCAUGAGCUUUGUUUGAAAACAAAACAAAACAAAACGAAAACAAAACAAAACAAAACAGAGAAAUCCUAUCUAUAAAAUUACUCUUAAUGGAAAUUCUGCCUGUAUAAAAUUAAAGUGGCAGGUGAGAACCAUUUUCAGCUUGCUUAUGGGUCUCUUACAGAUUUUCCUUGAAGUUUCAUGUGUUCUAAUUCCCUGAUAUGGAGGGAAGAGACUACAGUUGUGUUUACCUCGAAUUAUCAUUCAAAUAGAGGUGGUGUUUUCC
rnacentral:lncRNA from 1 species